UUUCUGUGGUAUCGGCUGUAACUUCUCUCUUUCAUUUCUGAUUUUAUUUAUUUGAGCCCUGUCUCUUUUUUCUUGGUGAGUCCAGCUAACGAUUUGUCCAUUUUCUUAAUCUUUCCAAAGAAACAGGUCUAGUUUCAUUGAUCUUUUUGAUUGUCUUUUAGUUUUUUCAUUUAUUUCCACGCUGACCUUAAUUAUUUACUUCCUUCUACUAACAUUGGGCUUCAUUUGUUCUUCUUUUUCUAGCUCCUUCAGGUGUAAAGUUAAAUAGUUUAUUUGGGAUUUUCUUGUUUCUUAUGGUAGGAUGUAUUGCUAUGAACUUCCCUCUACUUUUGCUACAUCCCAUGGAUUUUGAUACGUCAUAUUUCUGUUGUCAUUUACCACUAGGAACUUUUUAAUUUUUUCUAUGACCAAGUAGUUUUCUCGGUACCAUGUUGUUUAAUCUGUACAUAUUUUUAGUUUUUAGUUUUCCUCUUGUAUUUGACCUCUAGUUUCAUACCACUGUGGUUGGAAAAGAUGCUUGACACGAUUUCAGACUUCUUGAACUUUCUGAGAUUUGUUUGGUGGUCUAACAUGUGAUCUGUUCUGGAGAAUGUUCCAUGUGCAUUUGAGAAGAAUGUGUAUUCUGCUGCUUUUGGAUAGAAUAUUCUGCAUUUAACUAUUAAGUCCAUCGGGUCUAAUGUGUCAUUUAGGGUCAAUGUUUUCUUACUGAUUUUCUGUCUGGGUGAUCUAUCCAUUGAUGUAAGUAGGGUGUUAAAGUCCCCAAUUAUUAUUGUAUUACUGUCAACUUCUACCUUUAGAUCUGUUAAUAUUUGCUUUGUCUAUAUUGGUGCUUCUAUGUUGGAUGCAUAUUUAUUUAUAAAUAUUAUAUCUUAUUGCUGGAUUGAUCCCUUUAUUAUUAUGUAAUGCUUAUCUUUGUCUUUUAUUAUAGUCUUUGGCUUAAAGUCUAUUUCAUCUAAGUAUAGCUAUAAUAGCUUUCUGUUUCCAUUUUCAUGGAAUAUCUUUUUCCAGCCCUUCACUUUUAGUGUUUGUGUGUCCUUACUCUGAGGUGAGUCUCUUGUAGGCUGUAUACAGAUGUGUCUUGUUCUUUUAUCCAUUCAGCCACUCUGUCUUUUGAUUGAAGAAUUUAGUCCAUUUACACUUAAAGUAAUUAUUUAAAGGUAUGCAUUUUUUGGCAUCUUGUUAAUUGUUUUCUGGGUGCUUUUGCAAUUCCUGUUUCCUCCUUCUUUUUCUCUGUUCUCUUGUGGUUGGAUGAUUUUCUUUAGUACUACAUUUACAUUCAUUUCUCAUUUUCUUUUGUGUAUUUACUAGAAGUUUUUACUUUGUGGUUAUUGUGAGGUUCACAUAUAUCACCUUUUGUAUACAAUGGCCUGUUUUAAGUUAAUAACAACUUAAAUUUGAACACUUUCCAAAACUCUUCAUCCAGUCUGCUGUUGACCCCUUGAGAGUAUUUUUCAGUUCAUUAUUGUAUUCUUCAGCUCUGUGACUUCUGUUUGGCAGUUUCUUAUGUCUUUUAUGUCUUUGUUGAAGUUCUCACUGUGUUCAUCUGUUCUCCUAAAUUCAAUGAGCAUCUUUAGAAACAUUAUUUGAAUUCUUUAUCAAGUAGAUUACCUAUCUCCAUACCUCCAUUUCUGAGGUCUUGUCUUGUUCUUUCACUGGGAACAUAUUUCUGUUUCUUUAUUUUGCUUGACUCUCUGUGUUUUGUUUCUUCUUUUUAAUGUUUAUUUAUUUUUUAGAGAGAGAGAGAGAAUGGGGAAGGGGAUGAGAGAGAGGGAGACACAGAAUCUGAAGCAGCCUCCAGGAUCUGAGCUGUCAGCACAGAGCUCUAUGUGGGGCUUGGACUCAUGAGCCCAUGAGAUCAUGACCUGAGCUGAAGUUGGAUGCUCAACUGGCUGAGCCACCCAGGUGCCCCUCUGUGUUUUAUUUCUGAUAGGUGAAACAGCCACCUCUCUCACUCUUGAAACAGUGGACCUGUGUAGGUGAUGAACCUUCUCAUUAGACCUCCCCUAGUUCUUGGUUGUCUCUUUAACCUUUGUGAUUGUCUACACUUAUUCUUAGUAGGUCCCCACUAUUGACGAUGUGCCAAGACAUGUCCAUGUUCCAAGGGGAGGAAUCUCAUUUAGCACCUAGUUUCAGGUGGACUGGAAGCCAGACCCUCGGGCAGCAACUUUUAAUAUAUGCAAAUAUAUACACCCAGUGAGAUCAUAAUCCCUGCUGGCCUCCAUACCGGGAGACCUAGAGGUGUCCACUGAGUGACAGUUAUAAAAAUCCAGACUCCACAUGACUGUAUAAGCUCCUUUCUGGGAGGUCUUGUCAAGCUGUAGUGAGGCCAAGGCAGUGAGAGAGGAUGGUGUCUCUUGCUUAUGUUCUCUGCCUCCUUAGCCUGCAGAUAUGUGGGAAACCUGAAGCCUGUCCCUCAGGAAGCUCCUGGCUAAGUAAAUAUACUUUUUUUUUUCACAGGAAGACCGGGGUUGUGUUUCAGUCUGUUGUCUGUGCAGUGUCCUGGCGGUGGAGAUCUGUUGAGAACUAUCUUUCUAAUUGUUACUUUCCCAGGGGAGCUCAGGAAUGCCAGCCUUCUUGGUCACCAGGGCCAGGAGAUCAAGGGGCAUCCCCUGUGUGGACUGCACGUACAUGGAGGCUUUAGCUGGGCAGCAGGAGAAUGUAGAAGUUGGGGCACACUCCCUGGCUUCAGAAAGGUGGUGGGAAAAUAAAUUCCCUGAUGGCACGUGUGCCCAUAGGCUUUAGGAAUGCAGUGGGAGAGUGGUUUGUCUGUGAGAUGAGACAGAAGGAUGCUACCACCACUGCUUAUACUCGUCAGCCUAAGCCCAGGGAUUGAGGGAAGUGUCACUCGUAUCCAAACUGGCCGACUUUAGCUAGCUGACGGGAGGUUGCAUCAACCCUUGGUACUAACCUGGCUUUGGAAAGGCGGUGGGACGGUACCACAGCCACCUGCCCAUGCUUCACUCAGCAAGGUGGUGGGAGGGUGCCACUUCCAAGCUCGUCAGCCUCUCCAUCUCCGGGGAGAGUUUCAACUAUUCCCUGACCCUGCAGCGGAUGCUGCUGGAUUAGCAAAUGCCUUUUCCUUCACACAUAAUCCAGGCGCUCUCCCAUCUGCAAUUUUUUCCGCUGGGUCGUUGGACAAGUGAGACCACGGCAAGCACUUUAAAAGGGGAAUCUCAGUGUCCUGUAGCACUUUGGGUCUCUUGGACAUCAGCCCCAUUGGUUUUCUUUUCUUUUUUUUAAUGUUUAUUUAUUUUUGAGACAGAGACACAACAUGAACAGGGCAGGGGCAGAGAGAGAGGGAGACACAGAGUCUGAAGCAGGCUCCAGGCUCUGAGCUGUCAGCACAGAGCUCAAUGCGGGGUUCGAACCCACAACCUGUGAGAUCAUGACUUGAGCUGAAGUUGGACGCCCAACCGACUGAGCCACCUAGGCGCCCCAGCCCCAUUGGUUUUCUAAGCCAGAUGUUUUGGGGACUCAUCUGUCUGGUGCAGGUCCCAGGGGUUGGAGAUGUGGGGUACCCACCCCUCGCUCUGCUCCUCCAGGAGAGGCAUCUGUUCUGCCUCCUGGUCUGUGACAUCCCUUCUCAUUGCACAUCUCUAUGCUGGGGGUGAGGUUUUGCUGAGGCCACAUCUCUGCCCUUUCUACCUGUCUUGAUGUAGUCUUUUUAUCCUUUGUUGUAGAAAAAGAGCUCAUCCACUUUUCAGCUCUCCUUCAGAAGGAAAUGACCCGUGUGUAGCUGCAGGAUUGGUGUGUCCAUGGGAGACGCUUCUGCCUGCCACAUUCUUCUGCUCUCCCAAAUCAGUCAAGGUUACAAGUACCAGGAAUCUGAACACUAAUCGAGGAUGGGUGUUAUUCCUCCACGGAAACCACUCCCCUGUCUACCUUUGCCAUAAACACCACGUCCAAUAGAAUCAAGAACGGCCUUCCAUGUUAAACGUCCUCGAAUGUUGGAGUUGAGAACCUCUUAGGUAGCUAUAUAAGAUUUUUAAAGGGACGCAACUCAAAUCUGAGAAAGAACAAUAAAAGCGAUUUUAGAAGGGUUUCUCCAGCAGCACCAGAAGAUCUGUACCCCACACAUACAGAAAAGCAGCCCACAGCUUCCCUUCUUAACUCCGUUACGGUGUCGGCGAGUGGCCACGUCAGGCCCGGGCACAGGUGCUCGCCGGGCAGAAGCAAGGUGGCCUCGCACACGUCCCAGGCAGGCCGCUGCAGCAGGAGAGAGGGAAGCAGCUGUCGGGGAAACUGGGCAUCAGGGAUGUACCAGAGGCAAGCCAGCCCCUGCCAGCCUCCCUCUUCGCAAGGCUGGCUUUUGUUUCGGGCACAGGUUGGCUUUCCACACCUGUGAGUCAGGCGUGGGGGUAAAGAGCAGCACUUUAUAAAGGAAGCACCCGCGGGACGAGGUGGGGAGGCAUCUCAUCUCUCUUCGUUCCCACUGGCUGAGGCAGAAGCUUCUCUGUGGACCAGCAAGCUCCCGGCUGUUCCCAUCUCACGCUAUUGGCCUCAACCCCCCGGGUAAGGGAGGAAGAGAGCCGGCUGCAUUUGGUAAAGCACAAUUCCCUUGUUACGUGCCACAUCCUGAGGUUACAAAGCAUGGGAGUGGAGGUGGAAAUAAUCGGAAUUACUUAAAAAUAUGUCACAUGCUCAAGGACUCCACUCAGGCAGUUGCAGAGUUUCAAAGCUGAAUUGAUCUCUGCACGGUUUUCCAGUUAAGUGCCUUCGUUUUACAGGUGAGGACGCCCAGAGAGGCAAAGAAACCCAUGUAAGGUCACCCAGCAAAUUCACGUAAGGUCAGCACAAGAGCUUCCUGGGUCCUUGGGUUAUCUUGCCUGAUGAUAUGGAGAAGCAGUGGGCUUUUCCUUUUCACCUGGGAGCCGGACUUCUCCAAAUAACUAGGGGGAGGUACGCGUGUUUCACACAUGGGGUUGCGAAAUGAGCAUGCAUUUGGGAUGCCGAGUGGGGGUGGGGGAGCCCCCUUCACAGAGCAGGCUGGUCUUGUCUGCCAGCCUGAUAACCAGAGGAAACCUCAGGACAUGCCAUUCUCAGCUUUUAGCACCCAAAUGAGCAAAGGCUUCAAGAGGAGCCACGGUUUGUGGAAACACGGCUGGAAACACCACUCCUCUCUGAGCUCUCUGGAAUUGCAGCUGGGAAUUCCCAGGGUCCCAGAGCGACUGUUACCAUAACCUCCCAACAGGGUGUAAGAGUCCACUGCACGAUAAUUCUGGCUGCCUCCCAAAUGGAACGACAUCGAAGCUUUUCCCAACUUUAACAGAAACGGGGGUGCGGAGCGAAGUUCCCCUCGAAACCUGAAAUGGUCACCUCGGGUGUGGCCCGAGCACCUUCAGACGAGGGCAGCAGGGAUGAGCAUCCUGUUGCGUACCAGCCAUCGAGCCAGGACCCCGGCACAGACAGUCCCUGCAAGCCAGGAUCACGCUCUGCGCACAUGCACAGAGGAGUUAGAGAUGACGGCUGGAUAAGGGAACAAUAAUCUGUGUGAUUCCCGGGGGUCUGAGGCUGUUCUUUCAGCCCCUGGAUGUCUGCCUGAACACAUCUCUCCAGGACAGAAUCAGAACCAUGUGGGAAGGAAGGAUGAGUUCAGGGACAGGAGCAAAGGGAGGGCAAGGGUGCACGCGGGUGUCGCCGAUGAGAACUCUGGUCGGAAGAUGCCACAUGACCCGCCUGCUGACCACAUGGGCAAAGGUUUUGAGGGUCCCUUGGGCAAGGCUGAUGCACACUUGGUGGCAGCCCUCCUCCCAAAUCCUUCCGUUAUCACGGCAGGACCAGGAGGGCCCGGGGGAAAGGGUUUGGGCCGCAGAAUCCGAUGGGCCCGAGUUUGAAUUCGGCCUUUGCCCCAGCCCGUUGAGUGACCUUGGCCAAGACUUAGUUUCCACAUGUGUGAAAGGGAAUUCACAAUCACACCCUCCCAAGCCUGCUGUGAAGGUAAAAGGAGAAAAAUGCAUGGGGAGUGCUUGGCAUAGAGUAAGUGCUCAGCAAAUGAAGACAGGAGCCAACAUUUAUCGAGAGAUUACUAUGUGCCAGGCACUCUGGCCAAGGUGCCAGGACACGGGGAUAACAAAGACUGGCUCAGCAUCUGCCUCUGGAACUUACAGUCUAAAGAACUUGGGCUGGCUGGCAAGCCGUGCUACAUCCCUGGGCAUCACUAUGAACACAUCUUUACUGGUCAAUAUGAAUGAAUUCCUGCGCUCUGUUUUCCUUGAUGCUCGUUCUCAGAAAACAACCCCUUAUCCUGUGGCAGAACCGACAAUGUUAUUUCUAUUGAGAUAACCGUUUUGUGCUAUUAGCCUCAUCACCAUCAUCGCCACAGCUCAUCAUUAAGCACUUACUACCCACCAGGCCUUUUGCUCAGCCCCUUACAUGGAUUCGUUCAUCCACUUGCAAGAGCAUCCUUUGCAAGCAGCACCACUGCUCUUCAAAACAUGGGCCAACCAGCACCUGUGCCUCACCUGGGAGCCCGCCAGAAACACAAGUUCUCGGGCCCCACCACAGCCCUACUGAUUCAGUAUCUGCAUUUCACCUAUAAUACCCCCAGUGGUUCCUAGUCAUGUCCAGGUUUGAAGAAGCACAGAUUCAUGAAGGAGACCAUCUCUUGGCAAAAAGCGGGCUGGUUUGGAGAGAUGCCAAUCAUCUCUCUCAAUUUCUCCUUCCCAGGACGCCACCGUAUAAUCCUGACAUGCUCACAAGGCUAAGAAAAAACCAAAGGGACCGGAAAACAAACAUCACGAUACUUUUGGGAGACCAAAAGAGAGCUGGAAGCAGGGAAGGGGGCGAGAGGGAAAAGGCCCAGGCAGAGGGCUGACAGCCCCCACACGGGCCCACCCUCAGCACAUCCCCGAAGCCUCGAGGUCCCUGGAGGAGGUGUGGGUGGGCGCCUUCCCGUGGCGACAUCCCUGAGUCAGGGCUUGUGGUCUGGGAGGAGAAGAGCUUCCACAAGCCAGGGGAGGGAGGCCAAGUCCUCACUCGAAAUAUAGACAGAAGGAUGCCUACCAGGGACUGCACGCCAGCUGGCCACGUGGGGGCCCCGCAUGCCCCGACGCUGCCCAAGUCCUCUUGGCAGAUCAACAUUCACUGCAAGUUCACAACGUCUUGGGAAUGCCCCCAAUGCACCAGCAAAUAAUUGCUGUUAAUAAAAGCUUAACACUUAGAAUGGGAGAGUUCUUGAUACAUGAAAGUGUGCCCUAGGGUUUCUCCUCCAUUCAGCUUCUAUUAAAGGCAUGAUUCCCAGAGAUCAUUUCAUUCAAGCCCAAGAUCUGGCAGCUGUAGGAACAGAAGCGAAACAGAUUUUCUGAAAGUAACUUCAAAUGUACAAUGUUGGGCUCAGAUAGAAGGAUUUAAUUUUUCUAAAACCCUGAGAAGGUUUAGUUAUAUUUUUUAAACACAUGUGUUUUGGAAAUACUUAAAUGGAAACCAUCCUACUCCUAAGUCUAUUUCAUACUAGAUGAUUAGAAGUCAUGUUUCUGGUAGGUAUUUUUACACUCUAGAAAUGCAGGACAAUUUCAUACUAAAUGAAAUACUUAGUUACGCAUAUUUGUCCUUCCCCAGAGCACUUUCAAGUUCUCAUUAUCAAGAGGAAGGGUGAACUUUAUAUUUGUUUUUCCGUCCAUAAAUCACGAUCUACAGUAAAGACAGGUCCCACUCGCACACCAUCUACUCUGCUGUGUCCAAGCCUCCUCUGUUCCUUAAAUGAAAAAGGCUGCUUUCCUUUCAAGUACAUAAUAAAUCUAUUUGUAAAUCCA